CUUGUCAGACCGGUUUUCAGGCAGUUGUUGUGUGCAAAUCAAUGUGUUUUGGGGAAGUCCUCGUAGCCAGAAGUUGAAACUCAAGAAACUGGAUUUGGUUCUAUAAAAGGUUUAACAGAUUGUUGUUGUAUGUAACAUAUCUUAUAAGAGAAAUGUGGGAUUGAUUUGAACACAUCUCAGGAGCCAGAGGACAUUGGAUGUGUUUAAGCUCAUCACUGCAAGGAUAAGACAGCUUACCACAGCUGUGAGGCUUCAGUGUCUGGACCAUGUUCUCCUCUGCUGUCCAGUACAAAAACCAGCACUACUCUGACCUGAAGAGGGAUUGCAUCAACGACAAGACGCUGUUUGAGGAUCCAGAGUUCCCAGCCAUCAAUGCAUCUCUGUAUUUUAGGAAACCACCUCCUGGUCGUGUGGAGUGGAAACGGCCAAAGGAGAUAUGCAAUGAGCCCCGUCUGUUUGUGGAUGGCAUCAGCUCCCAUGACCUGAACCAGGGAAUUGUGGGAAACUGCUGGUUUGUUGCUGCCUGCUCCUGUCUGGCUUUGAAGCCAAACCUCUGGAAGAAGGUUAUUCCUGACUAUAAGGAGCAGGAGUGGGAUCACAAACAACCGGAGCGGUAUGCUGGAAUCUUCCACUUUCAGUUCUGGGUGUUUGGAGAAUGGGUGGAUGUGGUGGUAGACGACCUGCUGCCUACAAUCAACGGUGAACUCAUCUACUGUCACUCGAAAGACAACAACGAAUUCUGGAGUGCGCUGCUGGAGAAGGCCUACGCCAAGCUCCAUGGCUGCUAUGAGUCCCUGGAGGGGGGAAACACCGGAGAUGCUGUGGUGGAUUUCAGUGGAUGUGUGGUUGAAGCCAUCAACCUGGAGAAAGAAGCUUUCUACAAGGACCCAAAAAAACAGGACCAGUUGUUUGAGGAUCUGCUAAAGGUCUACGACCAGGGAGGAAUCAUUAGCUGCUCCAUUAGGGCACAGCCUCAUGAGAUUGAACACAAGAUGGCAAACGGACUGGUGAAAGGCCACGCAUACUCAGUAACUGCAGUGAAGAAAGUGCGUUUGGGUCACGGGCUGCUGGCCUACUUCAAGAAUGAAACCAUUUCUCUGAUCCGCAUGAGGAACCCCUGGGGCAAGACAGAGUGGAAGGGAGCCUGGAGUGACAGCUCUGAGGAAUGGUCGAAGGUUGGGGAUACGGAGAGGCGCAACCUUGGCAUUGUAGUAGAGGAUGAUGGGGAGUUCUGGAUGUCAUUCACAGACUGGUGCAAGUUCUACGAAGAUGCAGAUGUUUGCCGUCUUCUCAAUACUUCGCUGAUCAGUGUCCAUAAGACGUGGAACGAGGUUGUGCACUUUGGGAGCUGGACCAAACACGCAGAGCCGCUUUUAAACCGCUGCGGUGGCUGUGCCAACCACAAGUCGACAUUCCUACAGAACCCACAGUACUUGUUUGAUGUUACAAAGGAGGCUGACGAGGUUCUAAUCACCUUGCAACAGAAAGACAUGAAGAUCAACAGACAAUUUGGUCAAGGAGAAAAUCUAAGCAUCGGCUUCGGUGUCUUCAAGGUGGAACUGAACAGGAAGUAUCGGAUGCAUGACAUCCUGACCCAACAAUGUGUGAACACAUCCACCUACAUCAAUGCUCGGACAGUGUUUAUGAGAUGCACGCUCCAACAGGGCCGCUACGUCAUCAUCCCCACCACCUUUGAGCCUUACAAGCUGGGGGAUUACAUGAUCCGAGUUUUCACCGAUGUGGAAUCAGGCUGCAGGGAGUUGACAGAGGAUAAGCCGAGGGUAAAAUGCUGGAGUUCAUUCCUUGGAUACCCACAAGCUGUGACUCACGUCUACGUCCACGGAGCUGAGGAGCUGCAGAAGCAGGACAAUACAGGAGGUGCAGACCCUUAUGUGAUUAUAAAUUGUGAGGGCCGGACGGUUCGAUCCACCAUCAAGAAGGACACCCUGCAACCAGAGUUUAUGACCAGCGCCAUUUUCUACAGGAAGAAGCCCAGAAAUCCCAUAACUGUGGAGGUAUGGAACAGCAACGCAGUGAAGGAUGAGUUUAUGGGCCAUGUGGUGUUGUCCGGGUCGGUGAAGGACUCCUCUGGCCCUCAGAGGCUUCAGCUGUUGAAGCGAGGACGGAAAACAGCUGAUGAGAUGCCCGGUAAAAUCAGUCUGAGGAUCAUCACUUCUACUGAGCUGACCGCCAUGUGAUCUCGCCAUUGAAUUGAGAGAGGGCUGGAUCUCUUUCAUUGCUGAACAAUGUGGUGAACAUCUUACUUGGCAUGUGCCAUCAUCAAAGCACCAGGCCCGUGGAUGUCCCUGGUUGUGUGAAUUUACAUAAUUAUUUGCACAUUGGUGAAUUGUUUGCAAAGUUGAGAGGUGAACAGGGCACCAUUGUACCGACUGAAUGUCAGUUCCUGUCAUUUUUAUCUAAAGGUUUAAUCUUUUGAAUGACCCUUAUUACUUUUUAAAUCAUCCCUGUGUAACUUAUAAAAUAUUUUUAUAUUGGUGUUUUUUGUAAAGUUAUUCUUUUUUAUGUCCACUAUAUAGACCGAUAUGGCAGUAAUUUGUCAUUCAAGUCUUAACAUGCGUUAUAAUUUUGCCCAAACUUACAGCAUGUACAACACAUAAUGUAUCAUCUAUUUCUAUAAUUCAUAACAUGCUCCUUUCUUUUGUCCGUUCAUAUCAUCAUGUUUCAUUGUCAUGAUUAUUAAGAAAAUGCAAGACACUGAAUGGCAUAAAGAAUUAUAAGAAAUCCAACCUAAGAAUCACAAUAGACUACAAUCAUUAGCACAACUCUGGUUUUCUUCUUCUUUUUAUUUCAGUCCAGUUCCAAAACUGCAAUAUUUUGUUUGUUUUUUUUACACUCAAGACACAGCCAUGCACAAUUCAAAGUUCAAAAAGUCUAUUGCUUCAACCACAAAUAAAAAUAGUUUAUCCAAAACCUCA